CUGGGUCAGGAUUCUAAGGCAGUUGGGGAACUAGCAACUGGCACUCUCAAUCUGGGAUGCAGACAACGAGGCUGUGUGGAAGUAUCUCCAUGAAGGAAACCAACUUUGGAGCUGUGGGAGACCUGGAUCAUCUUUAAGGAGAGGUUGAGUGAGUGUUCCCUUUCACAUCGGAGGACAGUACAUGGGGAGAAUGGCUAUUGAAAAGACACAGAGAUAGGAGAUCAAGUGUCCUGGGUGAGAAACAAGGAUGGAAUCCCAACAGUUUAGGCUCAUUGUACCACUGACCAUAUGUACAACAUCUGUUACGAGCAUCAGUGUGAUGUUGACGCUGUUUCCCCUCCACACACACUUUGCAAAGUAUUGAUUCUAAGAUGGAAGCAAAGAAAAAUAAAAGAAAACGAUCAUUCAAGACCCAGAAGAAGAAAACAGAAUUCAGCAACUCUAUAGGGUCUUUACAGAGCCUGCUGCCAAUUAAAUACGGCGACAUGGAAAUUAACAAAAGGGCCCGGCUUUGGGAGCAAGUCGUUUUCAAAGCGUCUGGUCCAUUUGCUGAGGAAGAACAAGGAAAAAGGGAUUUCUAUAGAGUCAAAAGCUACACAAAGGAACAAAAGGCACACGCUUCAUUUCGCUGCACAAAAGCAGGCGCUCUUAGCGGAGGGAGACUGCCAGUACAAAGUGGUCCAGCCUCGAAGAACGUCAAUGGAGCAUUAAAUCUCAGGGGUGGGCUGGGGCCAAGGCGGAUGGGAGUGUAGACGUCAAUCUUGGUUAUUCUUCCGCCUGCUGCCGAGAGAGCAGGAGGAAGGGGAGAUGAGGGAUCGGGCUUGUCGGAGUUAGGGAAUGCCGUUCUAAUUGAGGAACUCUGAAGUGGCCAGAACGGUCUUUGAGGGGAAAAACAAACAAACAAACAAACAAACAACUAUUGAAUUAUUUGUAACACAAUUAGGUGGCCUUAUGGGGGAAAUAAAGCAGUAAUGGGUCUUCG
rnacentral:lncRNA from 1 species